rnacentral:misc_RNA from 1 species
GAUGAAGAACGUAGCGAAAUGCGAUAAGUAAUGUGAAUUGCAGAAUUCAGUGAAUCAUCGAAUCUUUGAACGCACAUUGCGCCCGCCAGUAUUCUGGCGGGCAUGCCUGUUCGAGCGUCAUUUCAACCAUCAAGCCCCAGGCUUGUGUUGGGGGCCUGCAGCUGCUGCAGCCCCCUAAAAGCAGUGGCGGACUCGCUGUCAUACCGAGCGCAGUAGUUACAUCUCGCUCUGGGCAUGGCGGCGGGCACCUGCCGUAAAACACUCUUUCUAAGGUUGACCUCGGAUCAGGUAGGAAUACCCGCUGAACUUAAGCAUAUCAAUAAGCGGAGGA